AUGCCAAUAGUCACUCAUCCAUGUUUUACCAUAAAUUCCUUAUCUCUGAAAAGAAAAUCUUUGAGAUCGACGACUUACGCCUCACGGCUUCCUCUCAUUAACAACAACAAUCUCGCUCUCCUUCCUUCGUCAUUCCUGGCCCUCCCUCUGCUCUUCCAUUAGUUUUUCUUUUUCUCGUGGAGUAAUAUUAAAUGCUCACAUCUCCCACUCAAGAAAGAAAGGAACCGUUACUUUCAAGAGAGAGAAAACAAACAAACUCUUCAUUGUUUAGUUGUGCUUGGAAUCAGGGGAAAUGGGGUUGAUUUCAGGGAUAUUUUUGGGGAUCAUUUUUGGAAUCGGGUUGAUGGUUGGAGCCUGAAUGGAAGCAUAUGAUGUAGAACCAAAGAACCAAAAGAGUUGCUAAGGUGAAAUGGCUAAACAAGCAAUUGGGCAAAUUAUGGCCUUUUGCUGCAGAAGUAAGAUUCUUGUUUUUUUUAUUCUUAUUAUAUUUUUUGGCUUACAAUUAGGUGUAAUUGGGAAAAAAUUUCAAGUGCACUUUGAUUUCUUGUGAAUUUGAUUUUUUUUAGAGAGAACAAAUCUAUGUAUAUUGGUAAAUGUUGUUCAUGUUUAGGCAAAAAAAUAAUAAAAAAAUCCAUGUAUAUUGAUAAAAAUUACAGGAAGGUAGAGUUUUUUGUAA